AUUAAAAACUGUCUCCCUUUUGCUAGUCUCCUGACUCCGCUGUUGGAGAGUGGGGCUUUUGUCUCUUACACUGGGAAGCCCUUUCAGCUCAACGGUCCUCCACCUCCUGGAGGACUAGCUGAUUGGCUGGGCCCUCAGUCACCAGCAGCAGCCCAUGGAGGGACCAGAAGAACCAGAUAAACCACAUAUGGACAAAAGCAGUGCAGGAAAAGACUUCAGAAAUGAGGUUCUUACAGAGCUACAGCCCACCAUGCAGGCUGGGACUUCCCCGCUCGGCCUGGUGGGGACUGGCUGCUGAAACAAAAUACUUACUAGCACCCACUGUUUCUUAAUGUGAUAGAAAACAUGCCAGGGACACAAAAAGGCACCCAUCACUUUCCCCAAACUGGGCAAAUUGCAGCUUGAGCAGGAAAAGAAAAUCAGCUGAUGCCAACACACAGUUAAGUCAGGUGCUGGAAUUAUCUGGAAGGAUUUUCAAGUAGCCAUCUUAAAAAUGCCUCAACAAGCAAUUAGAAAUUCUCUUGAAACACAUUUUAAAAAUAGAAAGUCGUAGGCAAGAAAUAGAAGCUACAAGGGUUGGGAAGAUUACUGAGUGGAUGAGUCUCUUGCUCUGCAAGCAGGAGGGCUGGACGCCCAUCUCCAGGAUGUGUGUGAUGCAUCUGUAAUCCCAGCAAGCCUGUGGGGGGGGAUGGUGGGUGGAGACAGGAGUCUCUGGAAGCUGUGGGCACCUCUGCCGAGUGGAUACAUGCAGUGCUGAAGAACGAGAGACCUGUCUCUAGCACGGAAGAAAGCAAAGGCCUACACCUGAGGUGGCCCUCUGACCUCCACACAUGUAUUGGGCACGUGUGCUCCCCCACCACAGGAUUGCACACACGGCACACAAACUCACACACAGACUCACACUUGAGCACACACACAGCACAUAUACAUAUGAAAUAAACUAAAGAAAUAGAAGUGCAUAAACUGUACCGGAACCCAGCUUAGCUGUUUCCUGUGGACCCCCUCAGCCUUCCCUUCUAGCUCAGCACCGUUCCCUUGUGCCUGCUGCCAGUGGGAAAUAACACAGAGGCCCACGGCUGGACAAUGUGCAGAGAGGGGAGAGACCUUGGAACACUCAGUCCUAAGCGGGAUGCCUUCACUAACCCUUUCCUCAGAGCCCCGGGGAGCUAUGCAGAGGCAGAAAGACUGUGAGAGCCAGAGGUGCCGGAUGACUCCGGGGAAACAGCGUCCUCCAGACAUAACAGGACUGACGCACAUAUGAACUCACAGAGACUGUGGCAGCACACAUCGGUCUACACAGGUUCAAGGCCGAUGGGGCCCCAGCACUGAGAGGGGGAAAUGGACAUGGCCUCCCGCCCUUAACCAAGAAGCUAUCUGCAAUUGACACCAGCUGACAAAGGAAACGUUGGUUUUCGCCAAUGGAGUUUCACUGGGCCUACCACACUUCAGGGUAGCCCUCAUGCCUAGCAGGAGACGGAAUCUGGUAUCCAAAACCAGUAGUGAGGACUCAAAGACAUAAUUGACAAUGACCUCAGCCAAGAGGGAGACACACUUCUUGCAGAGACUACGGAGAGUGCCGCAGAGAAGAAAGAGAGGGAGGAUGUGGGGAAGCCCUGGUCUGAG